UGCACCAAUUGUAGGUAUCUCUGUUUGGCCCUAUGGUUGACUGGUAGAGAAUGCCAUUUGGCAUUAAGUCCGCCAUUUGUACAUUCUUAUACACCGUGUUUUUUUUUAUUUCCGUUAAUUGCAAGGGUGCAUUCCUGAGCUUAAAUCAAGUAACUUUCUCAAAGACAUCGAUAUUCUAAUUAACUCCAUUUCGGAGAUAAUCAAUAAUUUAUUUUUUUCUUAUAAGGCCUCUACAAGCGUGUACACUUGCCUUAGGCCCGGUUUACAUAUUGAUUAGUGUUUAGAAUGAGUUCAUACAUUUGCUACUAAACUUAAGUACAAUCUCGGUCGAUCGAUGUUCGAAAUGACAUUGAUAUGUCACAGAUUUCAAUUGUUUGGUUGAGUUAAAUGUAAUGUCCGUGUUACAACAAUGCUAUAUGCUACAUUUAAUUACUUUUUAUA